CAAAGAAGGCGGGGGUGGGGGUAGCAGCAGAAGGAGCUACUCCCCGGCCGCUGCACAGUGACCAGAGCAGCCCGCGAUCAGAGCUCUGAACCCGACUAGUUCCUGGCUUCCUCUUCGGUUCCCUCCUCCUUCUGCAGCGACAACCCCCAGGGUCUCUCCGUAGAGCCUUCGAGAGCCCACGGUGGCCCGGGGCGCCGCGCCCUGACCCGCGCUCUAGGGUCGUGGAGGACUGCGCCCCAUCUGGGAAGACUGCGGCGCUAAGCCUCAAGUACCCCAGGGACACUGAGAAAUCGAAAAACGCGAGUCAGAGCAACUCCCGCCCCCCAGGAGCUGGGAACAAAGACCCCUUUGUUCCAGCUCUGUCCCUCUCCCGAGAGACCAGAGUCCCGUGGGUGUGGUGUCGUGGAGGGGAGGAGACAGGUCACUGCAGGUAACCCGCCUCCGCCUAGAACUUGGGAGGGGGAGGCACCCCACCGUGGUGUCCUAGGUAGCAAAGGCAGCCUGGGGCUCUGGAGGGAGGUGUCCCCCUUCAGGUGCACCUGCCAGCCCCAGCUCCAAGUCAGCUGAGUGCCUGCUACUCGGAUGAUGGGGUCUCUCCAGGUGUGAGGUUUGUGAACUCUCCUCGGCUCCGAAAGGAAUUUCAGGAUUACAUGUGUCACUUGUUUGAAGAGCUCAUUGACCAUAAAUCUCUGAGGGAGAGGGAAAGAAAGAAUGGGAGGAGGGGAAAGAAAGGGAGCAUGCACUUGGGUUCCAGCAAACCUCAUCUGGAGGAAGGGUCCACCCAUGGAUCUGCUGUCACUCUAUCUCUUCUGUCUGCCACCUUUGCUACAUCCCAAGAAGACUUUCUGCAUCUUAAUUCUGAAUAUGAAAUGAAUAGGCUUUGUGUUUGUUUUCUCGUCGUUGUCUUUUGAGACUAGGUCACAUGCAACUUAAACUAGCCUUGAACUUCUAAUGUAGCCAAGGAAGAACUUGAACUUCUGAUUCCUGCUUCUACCUUCAAUGCUGGGACUGCAAGUCUAUGCGACUCCAUCUAGCUGCACUGGGUCAUUGGACUCCUGUUUAUCUAGUGAGUGUACCAGUAUCCCUAAUUUCUCCAUCCAUGAACAACACUUGUUUAAGAUUCUUUACCACAUCUGGAGACAAGCCAUGGAACGCUUUACAAAUGAUUUGAUGGCUUAGUUUUGGCUCCCUCAGAGCCAUGCCCCACAUGGAUGGUGCAGCUUCUCAUGGAAUCAUCUAUCGCUCACACUUCAUUUCUCACCAUCCUCAAAUUUUAGGCUCAGGGAAAAUAAUUUUUUUAGAAAGAUCCCAGUUUACAGUAUUCUUCCAUGGCUCUGUGCUUGAUCACACUGACCUUACCUCCUAACACUUACUUUGCCCACCAGCCACCCCUCGGUUGUAGAGCAUCAAAGCCGUGCUCGCACCUUUAAGCGACUUGUUUUUGCUGAGUUACACAGAUAUGCUGUGAACACCCAUUCACAAAGCAGAUGUUGGGUGAUGAACAAGGCAACACAAAUAAAGUAAUUAUCUCAAUUUCUACUGUCUGUUCCCCGGUGUAUUCCCAGCAGCUUACAGAGUCCUUAGUGCAUUGUGGGAACAAAAUUGUAUGGGGGAGAAGUAAGUAUUAGUUAUCAUAAUUAUUAUCUCAACUACACCAAUAGUUGUUAGUUUAUCUGGUUUUUGUUUUCUGUUUUGUAUCAACCCCUGAGGUUGUAAGUCUGUCUAUCACAUAGGCUGUACUAGGCAAUGUUUGAUAAGUGAGCAAUGAGUGAACGAAUGGAUAGGAUUCACCUAGGGCAGAUCUUUCUGUUCAACAAGUGUGAGCACUAAAGUCGUCAUGCAUUUAUUGUUCACUUAGCUCUCCAGUCUCAUGAUUUCCUCACUGA
ensembl:lncRNA